CUAGAAACUGUUGGCCUCAGAGAUGUAUAAAACAUGUUUGUCUCCCCCUAGUUGGGACUCAAGUCCGAUGCUUGGCUCGGGUCCCAGCCGGAGAGACCAGGAUCGGACACCCUCUGGACACUGGUCUGUGGAAGGAGAGGCCACCCUGGUGGUAUUCCAGGGCUAGGCCACCCUGAUGGCAUUCCAGGGCUCCAGGUAGGCCGGUUCCAGUUGGGCCCUAUCGUCAAUCAACCAACCUGAAGGAGUUUAUCGGGAAAGCCUCUAGAGGUAAGAAUCGAAUGAUUCUUAGUGCACUGUGGGUAGGUAAGAGGAAACCAGACACGGCACAGGUUCCCUUACCUAGAGUCUCUUCGCAAUGGCAAGCAGACUCACUGGGUCGGAGUCCUCAGAAGAGUGACUCCCUGGGUAGGGUCUGAAUCCACUCAGCCCCAGAGGUUUACUUGGCCAAAGUUUGUUUUUGUCUGUUUAUUGUUGUCUGUCUGUCUGCUUGCUUUGUGUGCCUUUUGCAUUUUCACGGGCUAAAAUUAUGGGUUCCUCACAGUCCACGGAAGGAACUCCACUUGAUUGUAUCUUGAAUAACUUCAAAAAAAAAUAUUCUACAGACAGAGAAGAUGAAUAUGGCAUAAAUUUUCUAAAGGCAAAUUGCAAAUUCUGUGUCAAUCAGAAUGGCCAAGUUUCGGAGUCAGUUGGCCCCUGGUGGGAACUUAUUCUGUGCACAUUGCUCACAAGGGUUGGAAUGUGGUCACAGGAGUCAGGGCCCUAUGGCAUCCCAAUCAAUUCCCAUAUAUUGACAUUUGGAUCGAUAUGUUGGAAGAUCCCCCUAAAUAUUUUAUACAAUGUACAGGUCCCAAUCAACCUUUGGCAACUCUGAAUUGGAGGAGAAGGGGAAAUCAAAACCUACUGGAAAAGAGCCCCUCUCUGAUGGUUGUGUCAACCAGUAAAGGUGUUCUCCAGUCUGACCCUGAGGAUGAUUUACACCGACCUCCCCCUAACCACGUGGGUGGAACUGGCACCUGGGGGAGGGGCCCUGAAUCUCCUGCUGCAGGCCCUCUGGUUCCGGACUCCUCCUCAGACCAGAUCCGCUCACCUCCCCAUACUCAAUCAGGACAGGACUAUGGUCCAUCAGCCCCAUCUUCCUCCUCCCUUUUUCCUUUAAAACAAACAGAGCCUGGGGGAGGAUUGAUUUAUGUCCCUUUUAUAACUAGUGAUCUUUACAAUUGGAAACAUCGAAAUCCCCCCUUCUCUGAAAAACCUCAGGCAUUAAUCUCUUUUUUUGAGUCUGUUUUCCAUACCCAUCAGCCAACUUGGGAUGAUUGCCAGAAGCUUUUACAGAUCCUGUUCAGCACUGAGGAGUGGGAUGCAUUUAUCAACAGUCAGUCAAAGAGGCCCUGGGGCCAAACCCCGGUGUCACUCGUGGAACUCUGGGGUAUUCAGCCAGGGCUGAAACAGUGGUUCCAUUGCAAUGCCCCAAAUGGGACCCCAAUGAUGAUGAUGGUAGGAGGAGGCUGGGGACCUACCACCAGCACUUAUUAGGGGGACUCUGGACAGCUGCCAGAAAGCCCACUAAUGUGAGUAAGGUAAGUGAGGUUUGCCAGGGAAAAAUGGAGUCUCUGGGUGUGUUUUUGGAGAGACUCUUGGAAGCCUAUAGAGUUUUCACUCCUAUCGACCCAGAGGCUCCCGAAAAUGCAGCAGCUUUAAAUCUGGCCUUUGUUUCCCAGUCGGACCCAGACAUUAGAAAGAAAUUACAGAAAUUGGAGGGAUUUGAGGGAAAGACUAGCAUCAAACUCCUGAACAUAGCCCAGAAAAUUUAUGAUAACUAUGAUGCCCCCAAGGAAAUCCUAGCCAAAAAACUGGGGAAAGUCACUAUUGCUGCACUCUAGGCACAAGAGACAGUCCCUCUGGACAGAAAAGGAGAAAGUGCCUUUUUGGCUUUAAAGAAAGCCUUAGUGUCAGCACCAGCCCUGGCCCUAUCUGAUGUCACCAAGCCCUUUUGGUUAUUUGUGGCUGAAUGAGGGGGCAUAGCCAAAGGAGUGCUAGCUCAAGCUUUAGGGCCUUGGAGCAGACCUGUGGCCUACCUGUCUAAAAGACUUGAUCCUGUGGCAAGUGGAUUGUCUACCUGUUUGAGGGCAGUUGCACCCACCGCCUUCCUGGUCAAAGAGGCAAAAAAGCUCAGCCUGGGACAGGACCUGGUCAUCACCACACCCCCUGUGGUGGAGAUGUUGCUGAGAGGAGCCCCAGAAUGAUGGCUUUCCAACGUCCACCUGACUCAGUACCAGGCCCUGUUGCUGGAUGCUCCACACAUCAAAUUCACCCAAGAAAUGGCCCUUAAUCCAGCCACCACCUUACUCCCAGACUCUGACCACACAUACCCCUCCAUGACUGUCUGGACACUGACAAUUUCCACCACCAACUGCCCAGACCUGACUGAUGUUCCCCUGCAAAGCCCAGAUGAGACCUUCUUCACUGAUGGAAACAGCUUCGUGGAAGACAGAGUCAGGACUGACCUCUAUGGUCCAGGACAUCAGUUCCAGGUGUCAAGUGUGUGCACAGGUAAACUCCAAGCCUUACAGAUUCUUCAGAGUGAGAUCCAGGCUACAAUACAACAGGCUCAAGAAAAACCCUUUGUGAUGUUCCAGCCCCACGGUUUCAAGCCAGGAGACCUGGUCCUGAUAUGCUUGGUUUGCUUGCACUGAGGACUUGUCUAAAUACAUUCCCAAAUCAGUCUUGGCUACCCAAUCUGCCACUUUGUUUUGUGUCACCAUGUAUGUUGUUCCACAAGUCUUGUAUUAUAAUAAAAAGGGGGGUCACAAACAUCUGGGAUUAACCACUGAACACUAUAGGAGUAAACGGGCUGCUCCCGUUUUAGUGCCCAUUCUGAUAGGAUUAGGAAUAGCCGGUCAGCGGCUAUUGGAACUUCCUCCCUGAUCCUUCAGGACACAAAUUUUAAAGCCCUAAGCCACCAAGCAGCAAGAGAUUUGGGUCACCUGGAAGACUCAAUCUCCAGAUUAGAGAACCAGGUUGAUUCCCUAGCUGAGAUGUUCCUACAAAAUCGAAGGGGACUUGACCUCCUGUUCAUGAAACAGUGAGGGUUAUGUGUAGCCCUAGGAGAAACCUGUUGCUUCUAUACUAAUCAGUCUGGUGUCAUUAGAGAUAACUUAGCUAUGGUCAGGGAAAUUUUAAAGACUAAAUAUGCUCAACAAAAGGAUCCAAGUUGGUUUCAAAAUCUAUUUGACUGGUCCCCAUGGUUAACUACCCUAGUUUCUGCUGUAGCAGGCCCCUUAGUUAUCUUACUUCUGCUUUUGCUUGUGGGACCUUGUAUUAUAAAUUCUCUGACUAAAUAUGUUAGACAGAGGGUUGAUGCAGUUAAACUGAUGGUGUUGAGACAAAAUUAUGAGAUUUUAGAAGAUGUUUUAGAGGAAGAAUCUGAAGAAUAAAUACAGAAAUCAAAGAUUUGAUUAAGUUACAAGAACCAGUGGGGAAUGAAGGACCCUAGUUAGCAAGACAGACUCUAUAUUGCUGCUGAAUGACCCACCUACCUGCCCUUUAGACAAACUCAAAAGGAGGAAGCUUAGAAACCUCCUCCCCUUAGAGAGUCUCUUAGAAACAACAAUCAACUAUUGUUUUACAAAUGUUCUAACAGCAGAAUGUUCUGCUUCUGUACCUUUUGCUUGCUUUGCUAGUUCUAUCCCAUGGGGGGCUAGAAACUGUUGUCCUUAAAGGUGUAUAAAAUGUGUUAGUCUCCCCCCAGUUGGGGCUAGAGUCCAAUGCUCAGCUUGGGUCCCAGCCGAUAAUGAACUCCUGUGUGGAUUUAAUAUCAGUUUCUGGUUGGUUCUCUCUCGCUGGGUGUAACAUUCUCUCCAUCAAUUUUGAAAGAUAGUUUUGCAGUGUACAUCAAUCUGGAUUGGAGGCUGUUUUCCUUUAGGGCUUGAAAUACAUCACUCCAAGCUCUUCU